UCGAGCGACGCAUGCCGUUAGGGGUAACCCACUGGUAUGACAGAGCGGAGAACGGGUGAGUUACACUGGAGCCACCUGCCCCACAGACCGGAACAACCCAGGGAAACCUGGAUUAAUGUCGGAUGACCUCAUCAGAUCACAUGGCCUGAUGAGGAACUGCCUUUGUGCUGUGGGAUGGGCCCGCGGCUUAUCAGCUAGUUGGUGGGGUAACGGCCUACCAAGGCGUCGACCAGUUCCUGGUCUGAGAGGACAAUCAGCCCCGCUGGGACUGAAAUACGGUCCAGACUCCUACCGGAGGCAACGCCACGGAAUCUUGUUCUUUGGGCGAAAGCCUGACCCAACAACGCCACGUGGGGGAUGACAGCCUUACGGUUGUAAACCCCUUUCCUGACGGAAGAAAUUGACCGUACCUCCAAAAAAACCACCGGCCAACUACGUGCCCCCAGCCGCGGUAAUACGUAGGGUGCGAGCGUUAUCCGGAAUCAUUGGGCGUAAAGAGCUCGUAGGCGGUUCAUUAAGUCGGCUGUGAAAGUCCGAGGCUCACCCUCGGAACUGCAGUCAAUACUGCUGUGACUCUGUCCGGUGAGGAGAAUGGAAUUCCAGGUGUAUCGGUGAAAUGAGAAUAUAUCUGGAGGAACACCAGUAACAUGC
rnacentral:rRNA from 1 species